rnacentral:rRNA from 1 species
AACGAACGCUGGCGGCGUGGAUAAGACAUGCAAGUCGAACGCUAAUUUCAGGGUAGCAAUAUUCUGAAGUUGGAGUGGCGCAAGGGUGCGUAACACGUGGGUAAUUUGCCGUGAAGCUCGGAAUAACUCGCUGAAAGGCGAGCUAAUGCCGGAUGUGAUGUUUGGGAGGCAUCUCCUAAACCUUAAAGCUGGGGACCGUAAGGCCUGGCACUUCACGAUAAGCCCGCGGCCUAUCAGCUAGUUGGUGAGGUAACGGCUCACCAAGGCUAAGACGGGUAGCUGGUCUGAGAGGACGACCAGCCACACUGGAACUGAGACACGGUCCAGACACCUACGGGUGGCAGCAGUCGAGAAUUUUUCACAAUGGGCGAAAGCCUGAUGGAGCGACGCCGCGUGGGGGAUGAAUGGCUUCGGCCCGUAAACCCCUGUCAUUUGCGAACAACCUCGUAACUUUAAAGAUGACGAGCUGAUUGUAGCGAAAGAGGAAGGGACGGCUAACUC